GAUGAACGCUGGCGGCGUGCCUAAUACAUGCAAGUCGAGCGAACGGACGAGAAGCUUGCUUCUCUGAUGUUAGCGGCGGACGGGUGAGUAACACGUGGAUAACCUACCUAUAAGACUGGGAUAACUUCGGGAAACCGGAGCUAAUACCGGAUAAUAUUUUGAACCGCAUGGUUCAAAAGUGAAAGACGGUCUUGCUGUCACUUAUAGAUGGAUCCGCGCUGCAUUAGCUAGUUGGUAAGGUAACGGCUUACCAAGGCAACGAUGCAUAGCCGACCUGAGAGGGUGAUCGGCCACACUGGAACUGAGACACGGUCCAGACUCCUACGGGAGGCAGCAGUAGGGAAUCUUCCGCAAUGGGCGAAAGCCUGACGGAGCAACGCCGCGUGAGUGGUGAAGGUCUUCGGAUCGUAAAACUCUGUUAUUAGGGAAGAACAUAUGUGUAAGUAACUGUGCACAUCUUGACGGUACCUAAUCAGAAAGCCACGGCUAGCUACGUG
rnacentral:rRNA from 1 species